UACGUAGGUGGCAAGCGUUAUCCGGAUUUACUGGGUGUAAAGGGCGUGUAGGCGGGAAAGCAAGUCAGAUGUGAAAACCAUGGGCUCAACCUGUGGCCUGCAUUUGAAACUGUUUUUCUUGAGUACUGGAGAGGCAGACGGAAUUCCUAGUGUAGCGGUGAAAUGCGUAGAUAUUAGGAGGAACACCAGUGGCGAAGGCGGUCUGCUGGACAGCAACUGACGCUGAGGCGCGAAAGCUUGGGGAGCAAACAGG
rnacentral:rRNA from 1 species